rnacentral:lncRNA from 1 species
AGCCUUCGGUGGAGUCAGCCUCCACUCUUUCUGUGGACUUCCAGCUCGAGACUCAUUCUUGCGUUGGUUUGGAUCUCAAGCAGAAGCCCCAGUGGGUACCAGGUCUCUGCUCCCAGGUCCUGCAGAGCCUAGAAGUGACGAGCACACUAGCUGGCCCCCAGCACCCCCGUGAAGCGAUCGGAGGAACUUCAAUCCCCGCCUCCCACCUCCAGGCUGCAGGCCCCAUUCGCCCUCGGCUGCCAACUCCCUUCUGGACCGGCCGAACUCGGGAACCAGUGACCUGCAGACCUGCAGAGAUGUCUCCCUCUGAGUCCUUAACCUAUACCCCCAUCAGUGGGCCAGAAAGGGAGGCAGUGACUUGCCCAAGCCUCAGGGAGGGCUGAGAACAUCAAGCUGGGCUCCUCACCCUCGCUAGGUUACCCGGUGUCCCCUCAUCGGUGCCAGAGUGACCUUGGAACCUUCCGGUGGCCCUCCCUGGGGGCUGUCAUUAAGCAGCGAUAAAUUCCCUAAUCGACACCCCCUUGUCCAAAUACCCACCCUACACACAGCCAGCCCUGAGGCACAGACUGCAUAAGCCACUGCUCCCCACUGUGUGACAAGGCCUCCAGGUGUGGGUCCAGUUUGGGGUCUGCUGGUGCCCAUCCCCUGGGACAGAUGGGGACAAUCCCCUCUACCCUCACACCUUCUGAAGACACCCCUCCGCCCCAACCCUGCUCCUAGCAUCAUCGGAGACUUCCACAUUUUCAAAUUCUUUCUGGAAUCAACGGAUGCCUGAAUAAAUACAUUUUAAUUGCAUUUGUCAUGUAAAUAAGAUUUCUCAGGCCACUGAUCUGGCCAUUUACAUGCAAAAAUUCUGCUUUUACACAUCUGUCUAUCCACAUAUUUUUAUGUAGAAAUAGUUGUAGCCGGCCAGGUAGCUUGCUGGAUGGAUGGAUAGAUGAGUCACCAGGUAAACAGAUCGA